UGAUAAACUACACAUUAUUGUUUGCUUCAGUUGUGAUCUUGAUUAUGGGCUAUUUGGUAUUUUGCUUACAAACUGUAUAGUUAAUUAUCUGUUAGCUUUUGUUUUCCUGUCACAGCUUUAUGUUUAUGUGGCUCAUUGUAGCCGAAAGUUUUAUUUAUCAAUCUUAUUUUUCAUAGCAUAAAUGAAACUGUGUUUGAAGAAUCAGGUGCUGCUACAUCAUUCAAGGAAAUUCGUCGUAGAGGUCUUUCUCUUUACCAGAUUUCGUAGCUGAACUUUAAGAAGCAAUCAAACCGGUGUUAACUUCUUAUAUAAAGGUAGAUUCCCAAACUUUGAAGAAACGCUGCAGUACUGAGGUAAUUGAACGUUGUAAGGCAGAGCAUUGGGCUUACCAGAGCCAAGGUAUCUUCUUCGAUAACAAGUAAGGAUAGUCCUGAUACUACCUUUCUUUUGUUAUUGAAAUUUAUUGUUCCUUUUGUUGGGGGCUUGGUGGUUGUGCACCUAUAUUGAUUUGUACUUCUGUUAAUUAAUUAUAGUCAUUCUCUCUUGUCUGAGUAAUUAUUGUCAACCAUUUUGUUAGCAAAGGCUUCCCAUGGAAAUUCAGUUUGUUGUGCUGCAUGUCCACGAUGAUUUUCGUGAUUUUAGUUUUAGAUACAUAAAAAGGGCCUUUGCAUCACGACAUGAAUGACUACUUUUUAAUAUGAACCUACAAUACCCCAAAUGAAUGCUGAAGUAAGUUUAUUGAUGUAUGUAAUUUACAACAAUCUUUUUGAACUUUUUGGUAGGUUAUGAAUUACGAACUUGUAUUGAAUAUUUGUUAGGUCGUUUUAAUAAUUCAAGUGAUGCUUAGAAAAUGCA